AAGAAAGAUGACGGUACCUUAGGAGGAAGCCCCGGCUAACUACGUGCCAGCAGCCGCGGUAAUACGUAGGGGGCGAGCGUUGUCCGGAAUUACUGGGCGUAAAGGGUGAGUAGGCGGCUAAUCAAGUCAGGGGUUAAAGCCCUCGGCUCAACCGAGGUAAGCCUUUGAAACUGAUUAGCUUGAGCGCAGGAGAGGAGAGCGGAAUUCCUAGUGUAGCGGUGAAAUGCGUAGAUAUUAGGAAGAACACCAGUGGCGAAGGCGGCUCUCUGGACUGUAGCUGACGCUGAGUCACGAAAGCGUGGGGAGCGAACAGGAUUAGAUACCCUGGUAGUCCACNCCGUAAACGAUGAGUGCUAGGUGUCGGGGUCGACAGGCUUCGGU
rnacentral:rRNA from 1 species